UACAGAGGGGGCAAGCGUUAUUCGGAAUUAUUGGGCGUAAAGGGCGCGUAGGCGGCCUGGCAAGUGACGGGUGAAAUCCCUCGGCUUAACCGAGGAACUGCCUGUCAGACUGCUUGGCUUGAGACCGGGAGAGGUGAGUGGAAUUCCCAGUGUAGCGGUGAAAUGCGUAGAUAUUGGGAGGAACACCAGUGGCGAAGGCGAGUCCCUGGACAACACCUGACACUGAGGCACGAAAGCUAGGGGAGCAAACAGG
rnacentral:rRNA from 1 species